UACGUAGGGGCAAGCGUUGUCCGGAAUCAUUGGGCGUAAAGCGCGCGUAGGCGGCCCGGUAAGUCCGCUCUGAAAGUCCAGGGCUCAACCCUGGAAAGCGGGUGGAUACUGCCGGGCUAGAAUCCGGAAGAGGCGAGUGGAAUUCCUGGUGUAGCGGUGGAAUGCGCAGAUAUCAGGAGGAACACCAAUAGCGAAGGCAGCUCGCUGGGACGGUAUGACGCUAAGGCGCGAAAGCGUGGGAGCAACAGG
rnacentral:rRNA from 1 species